CCUACGGGGUGCAGCAGUGGGGAAUAUUGCACAAUGGGCGCAAGCCUGAUGCAGCCAUGCCGCAUGUAUGAAGAAGGCCUUCGGGUUGUAAAGUACUUUCAGCGGGGAGGAGGGCGGCGAGGUUAAUAACCUCAUCGAUUGACGUUACCCGCAGAAGAAGCACCGGCUAACUCCGUGCCAGCAGCCGCGGUAAUACGGAGGGGGCAAGCGUUAAUCGGAAUUACUGGGCGUAAAGCGCACGCAGGCGGUCUGUCAAGUCGGAUGUGAAAUCCCCGGGCUCAACCUGGGAACUGCAUUCAAAACUGGCAGGCUAGAGUCUUGUAGAGGGGGGUAGAAUUCCAGGUGUAGCGGUGAAAUGCGUAGAGAUCUGGAGGAAUACCGGUGGCGAAGGCGGCCCCCUGGACAAAGACUGACGCUCAGGUGCGAAAGCGUGGGGAGCAAACAGGAUUAGAUACCCGAGUAGUC
rnacentral:rRNA from 1 species